rnacentral:rRNA from 1 species
AGAGUUUGAUCAUGGCUCAGAAUCAACGCUGGCGGCGCGCUUAACACAUGCAAGUCGAACGGGAAAGUGGAGCAAUCCAUGAGUAUAGUGGCGUACGGGUGAGUAACACGUGGGUAUCUAACUCUUAGUGGGGAAUAACGCUGGGAAACCGGCGCUAAUACCGCAUAAGCUCGAGAGAGGAAAGCAGCAAUGCGCUGAGAGAGGAGCCCGCGGCCGAUUAGCUAGUUGGCAGGGUAAAAGCCUACCAAGGCAGAGAUCGGUAGCCGGCCUGAGAGGGCACACGGCCACACUGGCACUGAAACACGGGCCAGACUCCUACGGGAGGCAGCAGUGGGGAAUCUUGCACAAUGGGGGCAACCCUGAUGCAGCGACGCCGCGUGAGCGAUGAAGCCCUACGGGGUGUAAAGCUCUUUCGUCAGGGAAGAUGAUGACGGUACCUGGAGAAGCAGCUGCGGCUAACGACGUGCCAGCAGCCGCAGUAAUACGUAGGCAGCGAGCGUUGUUCGGAGUUACUGGGCGUAAAGGGUGUGUAGGCGGUUCUUUAAGUUUGGUGUGAAAUCUCCCGGCUCAACCGGGAGG